rnacentral:rRNA from 1 species
UACGAAGGGGGCUAGCGUUGUUCGGAUUUACUGGGCGUAAAGCGCACGUAGGCGGAUCGUUAAGUGAGGGGUGAAAUCCCAGGGCUCAACCCUGGAACUGCCUUUCAUACUGGCGAUCUUGAGUCCGGAAGAGGUGAGUGGAACUCCUAGUGUAGAGGUGGAAUUCGUAGAUAUUAGGAAGAACACCAGUGGCGAAGGCGGCUCACUGGUCCGGGUACUGACGCUGAGGUGCGAAAGCGUGGGGAGCAACAGG